UACGUAGGGGGCAAGCGUUGUCCGGAAUCACUGGGCGUAAAGCGCGCGCAGGCGGUCUUUCACGUCCGGGGUGAAAGCCCAGAGCUCAACUCUGGGAUUGCCUUGGAUACGGGGAGACUUGAGGAUCGGAGAGGCAAGGGGAAUUCCACGUGUAGCGGUGAAAUGCGUAGAGAUGUGGAGGAACACCGGUGGCGAAGGCGGCAUCCUGGACCAACACUGACGCUGAG
rnacentral:rRNA from 1 species